rnacentral:misc_RNA from 1 species
GUGAAUCAUCGAAUUUUUGAACGCAAAUUGCACUCUCUGGUAUUCCGGGGAGUAUGCCUGUUUGAGAGUCGGUAGAUUAAAAAUCCAAGCAUCUCUCUUUUGUUUUGGGGUGAUCGCGUCUUAAUUGAGUCGUUUGUCAAAUGUUAAUUCAUAUCAAACUUUCUUAAAAUUCUUCCAUCC